rnacentral:rRNA from 1 species
CCUACGGGAGGCAGCAGUGAGGAAUAUUGGACAAUGGACGAGAGUCUGAACCAGCCAAGUAGCGUGAAGGAUGACUGCCCUAUGGGUUGUAAACUUCUUUUAUAUGGGAAUAAAAUGUUCCACGUGUGGGAUUUUGUAUGUACCAUAUGAAUAAGGAUCGGCUAACUCCGUGCCAGCAGCCGCGGUAAUACGGAGGAUCCGGGCGUUAUCCGGAUUUAUUGGGUUUAAAGGGAGCGUAGGUGGAUUGUUAAGUCAGUUGUGAAAGUUUGCGGCUCAACCGUAAAAUUGCAGUUGAAACUGGCAGUCUUGAGUACAGUAGAGGUGAGCGGAAUUCGUGGUGUAGCGGUGAAAUGCUUAGAUAUCACGAAGAACUCCGAUUGCGAAGGCAGUUCACUGGACUGCAACUGACACUGAGGCUCGAAAGUGUGGGUAUCAAACAGGAUUAGAUACCCCAGUAGUC